GGUUGAGUUUUACAGAAAACAUAUUUCCAAACACAUUCGCCACAGGCCAAACCCUCCACGGGGGAGAGUUACUUUUAGAAGCACUUUGAACUUGCUUUCUCUACAGUAUCUGAGAGAUAACUCACUCCUGUGGUUACCUGUUCUGCUUACUGUGAACCUUCUGGGAUGAGAUGACCAUCCUUGGCAGAUGCUCACCUCAGUCCUGUGCCCUGGGAGCACAAGAUAAAGCGCAUACAAAAACCCAGGAGUGGAGAAGAAGGGAAGCUGCCUCCCAUGACACUUGUCCCUCACAUGCUUCCAAAGUUCCCUGACUAAAACUGCCAGAUCUCAGUUCCUCUUUGGCAUUGACACAACCUUGGGCAUGUCCCAACUUAUCCAAGGCCCAAUCUUCCUAUUUAUAUAAGAAAGCGUAGCAAAAGCCCAUUUUCCUCCCUAACCUAGAAAUUGCCUUCAGAAGUGGAAAGCCAUACCUGGGAGUGUUCUGCCUCCCCAAAAGGGACAUACGCCUACUGACACAGAGGUGAGUGUUCUGCCAGAGCUGGAGUCUUCCCAUACAAAAAGGGAAACAUUUUGUGAGGGUUGAUCCAAUCAUCCAACAUGUUCAUAAAAAUAGGUGUUACAAUCUAAAUCUGAAAUUCACUUCUACCGGCUCAUAUUUUUGCAUGCUUCUUCCUGGUUAGUGGUGCUGUGUUAAAAGGCCCUAAACCCUCUGGGAUAUGGAGUUCAAGAGAGAGAAGUAGGUCACACUGGGAGCCUUUUAAGGUUAGACUCAGUUCUUUUCUCCUGCUUUGCACUCCGCUUUUGUGGUAUACCAUAGUGUAUACACCCUCUGCCAUAUACAUGAUCCUUACUGUGAUCUGAGUGGCUUUGCCUCCUGCUUGGCCUGCUGGACUGAGCCUUUUGAAACCAUGAGCCAACAUACACCUUCCACCCUGAAGGUAUUUCUAUCAGAUGUUUUGCCUCAACCUGUGCCCCUUGGGCCCCAGAACCCUGGCUAUGUGUGGUGAAGUAACAAAGAAAGAACUAAACACACAUAUGGUGAUGUGGGGAUCAGGUAGAGCCCUCAAGCACUGUGACUACAACCUGGAUCCUCUGGGUGUUUAUUGGAUACAGCACAGGGAGGUGGGAAGGAGAUUGGGGGUACAAGAGGCGAGAGUCUCUGGCUGUGAACAUCCUGAAGGAGGAAGCCACAGUUGUCAGGUUCUGAACACCCUGAUCAAUUGUCUAUAAACACUCAUGCUCGAACACCCAAGGGAAGCUUUGCUAUUUCGGUUGAGCCUGGGCCGUAAGAGUAAUAGCUUUGUAAUUUGUCACUUGGGCCUGAGGCCUCAGAGUCCACAAUAGGCCAUCCCUUUGUCAAAAUAUGCAUUUACUAAGGACAUCAUUCACUCGGGGCUUCCUCUGUUCUGUACAGAGUUUGGUCACAGGAAUACAAAAGUAACUCAGACCUCGAGGGAUUUGGAGAUAGGGAUUCCAAGAGCAUGUGUGGCAGUUCCAGAGUGGAGGAGGGACAAAAUGGCAGAAGUCACUUGUCCCUAGUGCUUCCUUAUUGAUCUCUGUGGCAGCUGCUAAGAGCUCUCUCAUAGCUUGCAGUUAAACUAUAUUGUCAAUACCUGUCGCCAUCUGAGAGUUCUGCUAAGAACCAGUGUGUCUGGUGGCCUUUGGAAUCAAGUCUAAUUCCUACCGCAAUGCUAUAGAUAGGUGGCUCUAGCCUCUUCUUACAUAAGUGAGCAUUAGGAAGGAAUAUGGUUAGAAGUGAGGAAACUGGUGUACACUGAGCCCCCUGCUUCUAUAUCAAAAGAGAAAGAGUUCUGCUUGAAAACCUUUGAAAAAUCUUAAGAUCUCAAAUAUCGGUGAGAUCUCAGGGAAGUCAUCCUAGGGUGAUAUAAUCAUAAAGUUCACCCACAUCUCCGUGCUGCCAAUUAUGGGGUAUUGGAAAAUGGUGGGGACCUCAAACCUCCAUGAAGAAAUGCUCCGUGUGUCUUAGUGCACAUGUGGAGGUUAAAGGACAACUUUUGGGGACCCAUUCUCUUCUUCUAUGGUGGGUUGAACCCCGAUGGUCAGGUUUGCAUGGCCGCUCCUUCACCCUCUGAGCCUUCUCACCCUCUGUUGGCUGUAUUCCUAAGGCAAUUAGUGGUAUAUAUACUAAUCAUAUUACUUUAAUGAGAUUUAAUCUUUUGGAGAGCUGAGUCCGUUAAGUCCUACCUCUUUGCCUUCUCUACCAUACA
rnacentral:lncRNA from 1 species